AGCAUCUGAUCUCCCGUGCUCGGGGGGAGGGAGAGAGAUGGUGCCUGGCCCCAGCCAGCCACAUGCCAGAAAGCCCUGCACAAGACAGCCUCGCAGGCCAGGCUCCGAGCCGGCCCUGGUUUGCUCCGCAACGCACUUUCUGCUUUGUUUUCUGGGCUGGAGCCCAGGCAGCCUGGGAACUGCAGCGCAGAAUCAGAGGCUGAUUUGAUCAGUAGAUUUCAGAGUCUGCUAUCGAUCAUUUGUAUUCACUCCAAGAGGGGUUCAGAAGAAAUUAAUGAGAAGCUGGAGUUACUGUUGGUGUGCAAACUUUUGAAAAAGAAGCAAUAAAAACAGAUGCACAGCAAAUGGAUACAUGAUACUUGAAAGACCCCAGGACCUUAACGAAGAAACACCAUGCUGACUAUUCAGCUCCCCCUUUGCAGUCCCCGUUAUUGGUAAUGGGCACAGGUAAAGGGUCUGUGAGGAUCUGUACAUGUGUACUGUUUCUUAAAAUAUUUGGUGGAAGCCCAGUAGGGUGGCCCUAGGGGAAGGAUGUGCGCCGAAGCUCUCCACCAUGGCAGAGUAUUUUUAAGGAUAACUGCUUUCUGUUAUUCUAAUAAAGUUCCUUCUUUGGUGCUAGAAGAACUCUUUUUCUGAUUCUCUACCACUGUCACAUGACAGGCAGCCUUGAAAUUUACAGACAUAGGACAUGAAAAAUGAGAAAUAAAAGAUGUUACAUCGUGUGUAAGUGUGAGAGUAAAUUACUCAGGCUUCAUUCUGCCCGGUACAUAAUUAGCAUAAAUGUUUAACCCCUCCCCCCCGCCCCCCCAAAAAAAGAAGUUCAACACUGAGAGCCUUUCACUUACACACUCAAACAGCACCUUGUGAAAGGGUCAGCUUGCUCAGAGUAAGCCAAUCAGAGGGUAGCUCCCUCCUUAGAUCUGCUACAGGGACAACCAGCUCCUGGUUUGUUUCAACAAUCCUCUCCCAGCUGCUUACUCUCUCUGUUCUCUCCCUGCAGAGAUAAAUUCAUCUUCAGCAGGAUACAGAUUGCAGAGCCGCAACACCAGUGAUCACCUUGUUUCUCCUUUCCCCUGUUUAAUGAUAGGGCUUGUGCUACCACAGUAGACAGCUAUUUUUUUCUGUCCUGCCCUCUUCCAAUAAACCUUUUAACCAUGCUGGUUUUAAAUCCAAAUCUAAAUCAGGAAAUAAUUUUGGGCAAUAGACAGACAUUUGAUUAAAAAAAAAAAAACAAAUGAACAUUAACUUGGCUCCU